rnacentral:misc_RNA from 1 species
GUAGGUGAACCUGCGGAAGGAUCAUUACAGAGUUCAUGCCCUCACGGGUAGAUCUCCCACCCUUGAAUAUUAUACCUUCGUUGCUUUGGCAGGCCGUGGAAACACCAGAGGCUCCGGCUGAUGCGUGCCUGCCAGAGGAAACAAACUCUGUUUUUAGUGAUGUCUGAGUACUAUAUAAUAGUUAAAACUUUCAACAACGGAUCUCUUGGUUCUGGCAUCGAUGAAGAACGCAGCAUCUGACUGACUUCAA